rnacentral:tRNA from 1 species
ACCUUCGUGGUGUAGUGGUCAGCACGCACGACGCGCAUCCGAGAGGUCCGUGGUUCGAAUCCCGGCGAGGGUA